AUCUAUCAUGAGAGUUCUAUUCUGAAUAUUAAUCAACAGACAUGACAUUUCUUCAAACAUGACUUUCUACAUUGAUCUGAUAUAGAAAAUGAAUUAAAAAUAUGGUUCUGUCUUAAAAGAAGAACAUUUGAAUUCAAAUGUCUUCUCAGUAAUUAAGUUGGAGACCCCUAAGUAGAUGAGAUUGAAGGAUUCAGUUCUUGGUCAUAUACAAAAAAUACCAGCAGAAGAGGGCAGAAUGAAGGCUUUUUCAACAUGUGGGUCCCAUCUAUCUGUAGUGACUAUGUAUUAUGGUGUUGCCAUUUUUACCUAUCUUCUUGCUCCAAAUGAGAAUAUGCAUGAGGCUGAAAAAAUACUUUCUAUUUUUAAUGCUGUACUAAUGCCUGUGUUCAACCCCUUAGUUUAUAUACUCUGAAAUCAAGAGUUUCUGGGAGCACUAGGAAGAAUUCUAAUGAACAACAAGUCAGGCAUGCAAUAUUGAACUCAAUUGUAGCUGUCUACUUUCUUUUGAACAAUUAUGUUGAACAAUCUUUUUUCUUACUUACUGUAUAUGUUGUUUACUUUCCACAUGAGAAAUAUUACAAAUCAAUGGUGAAAAUAUUUGAAAUCAGUUUCCAUUUCACUUUAUUAACUAAAACUUUCAAGUGUCCCAAAGUUGUUUUUUUUUAAAAAAAAGGCAACUGGACUUUGUUUUCCUUGAAGAUAUUUGUUUCUUGUCCAAGAAAAUUCUUCAGUUUUUGGAUGAGAGGCAAAACAUCCUCAAGGAAAAAUGAAAUCCAGUUCCUUUUGAAAAAGCACCUUUAGGACAACUGUGACCUGGAUGAGUGAAAAACUCCAUUGACCACCUUUUAAGUGAUUAUUGCUAUUUCUUUUGCCAGCAUUGUGACCAAAUGCUGCAGCUUUCUAAAUAGCUUAAUGGACACUAAGCACUGGCUGAAAAUUUCCCAUUUACAGAUUUUUUUUUAACUCACAAAAAAGUACCAGCAUAUACUAUUAUUUAUUGAUUGGAGCAUCUUUAGGAAUAUGGUUUUCCACCAGAAACUGUGCUAUCAAUGUGUGCUAUCACUAUAAAAAGCUAUUCUAUGUUUACAGAAGUUAUCUUGCAUGCAGAAUAGCUCAGAAUCUAACACAAUAUCUCUAUAAUGAACUAAUUUUGUUCAUUAUUAUUCUCAUUCUUUAACAUUAUAAGGAGCACACUGAGAUAUAUUCUAACUCCAGAAGCACAUAGUGAUACUGCUAUACACUACAUAAUGACACUGCUAUACUUCCGAAGUGAUUUGAAUGACUUCAAAAAUGAAAUAUUUCACUUGUUCAAGACAUGACCAGCUUUAGUUCUCAUCAUGUAUUUCUUUAAAAAAGCUUUGUUAAAAAUUACAAAGUUAACAAAAAUGUGAAUAUUUUUCAUGAAUUAUCAAUUAUAGAAUAUUUGACUGAUUUUUUUCUACUUGUAAUUUCAUAUUGAAUGUUAGCCUUCUUUUUCCUUUCACUGCUAUAAAUUAUAUGUCAUAGUAAUAUUUAUAUUUUAGUAUUUCUUGGGAAAUGUCUCCUAAAUUACGGAAAAUAAUACAAACAUGAGAAUACAACAUAGUAACUGUAAAUCUGCAAAAUAUAUUCUUAAAGCUGAAAGGAAAAAAAAAUAAUGUCAUUUAGAAAUGUCCCUAAAGGGAAUAAGUAGUAUAUUUUUACAUUUUUAAAAAUACACUGAUAUUAUUAAUGAAAAAGUUAAUGAAAAAGCAUGUUGACAUUGAAAAUACUUUUUAUUAGCCAUUAGUGCUAGAAUUAAAAAUAGGGUGACCUAACGUAGAGACCAAGAAGUCAUUAGUAAAACUAUGAAUAACAGAACUACUUUAAUGUAUUUUUUUAAAUAAAGAUUUAGUGUAAUUUG